rnacentral:rRNA from 1 species
CAUCCGCUAAGGCUAAAUACUCCUGAGAGACCGAUAGCGAAGUAGUACUGUGAAGGAAAGGUGAAAAGGACCCCAAGAAGGGGAGUGAAAAGACCCUGAAACCGUACGCCUACAAGCGGUCGGAGCUGCACUUCGGUGUAGUGACGGCGUGCCUUUUGCAUAAUGAGCCUACGAGUUACCUUGACAAGCGAGUUUUAAGCCCUUCAGGGGCGAAGGCGAAGCGAAAGCGAGUCUUAACAGGGCGAGAGCUUGUUGAGGUAGACGCGAAACCGAGCGAUCUACCCAUGGGCAGGUUGAAGUUCCGAUAAUAUCGGAAUGGAGGACCGAACUGGUAACGUUGAAAGUUUCGGAUGACCUGUGGGUAGGGGCGAAGACUAAUCAAACUCGGAGAUAUCUCGUACU